GGGAGAGCUAAAGUCUUACUCAUCUUUAUGUUCCCAGUUUCUUACAUGGUACUGAUCCAUGGUGGGAAAUCAAUAAAACAUUUGUUAAACUGAGGACAGGAAUCCUGCCUUAUUCUAUUCCCCACAAGAUUCCAUGUUCAGCCCUAUAUAUAUAAGUAGUGCUUGAUGAAGUUUCUGAAGUAAGUGAAAAUUAUAUUUUAAACAAUUAUUUGGCCAGGCACGGUGGCUCACGCCUGUAAUCCCAGCACUUUGGGAGGCCAAGGUGGGCAGAUCACAAGGUCAGGAGAUCGAGACCAUUCUGGCUAACAUGGUGAAACCCCAUCUCUACUGAAAAUACAAAAAAUUAGCCGGGUGUGGUGGCACCCACCUGUAGUCCCAGCUACUCGGGAGGCUGAGGCAGGAGAAUCGCUUGAACCCAAGAGGUGGAGGUUGCAGUGAGCUGAGAUCACGCUAUUAUUGCACUCCAGCCUAGCAACAGAGUGAGACUCUGUCUCAAAAAAAAAAUUUGUAUUUUGAAGUGUUAAAG
rnacentral:lncRNA from 10 species